rnacentral:rRNA from 1 species
AUCCUGGCUCAGAUUGAACGCUGGCGGAAUGCUUUACACAUGCAAGUCGAACGGCAGCACGGACUUCGGUCUGGUGGCGAGUGGCGAACGGGUGAGUAAUAUAUCGGAACGUGCCCAGUCGUGGGGAUAACGUAGUGAAAAUUACGCUAAUACCGCAUACGAUCUAAGGGAUGAAAGCGGGGGAUCGCAAGACCUCGCGCGAUUGGAGCGGCCGAUAUCAGAUUAGGUAGUUGGUGAGGUAAAGGCUCACCAAGCCAACGAUCUGUAGCUGGUCUGAGAGGACGACCAGCCACACUGGAACUGAGACACGGUCCAGACUCCUACGGGAGGCAGCAGUGGGGAAUUUUGGACAAUGGACGCAAGUCUGAUCCAGCCAUUCCGCGUGCAGGACGAAGGCCUUCUGGUUGUAAACUGCUUUUGUACAGAACGAAAAGGUUUCUCUUAAUACGAGGAGCUCAUGACGGUACCGUAAGAAUAAGCACCGGCUAACUACGUG